AUUGAACGCUGGCGGCAGGCUUAACACAUGCAAGUCGAGCGGGGUGAUGGUGCUUGCACUAUCACUUAGCGGCGGACGGGUGAGUAAUGCUUAGGAAUCAGCCUAUUAGUGGGGGACAACAUCUCGAAAGGGAUGCUAAUACCGCAUACGUCCUACGGGAGAAAGCAGGGGAUCACUUGUGACCUUGCGCUAAUAGAUGAGCCUAAGUCGGGUUAGCUAGUUGGUGGGGUAAAGGCCUACCAAGGCGACGAUCUGUAGCGGGUCUGAGAGGAUGAUCCGCCACACUGGGACUGCGACACGGCCCAGACUCCUACGGGAGGCAGCAGUGGGGAAUAUUGGACAAUGGGGGAAACCCUGAUCCAGCCAUGCCGCGUGUGUGAAGAAGGCCUUAUGGUUGUAAAGCACUUUAAGCGAGGAGGAGGCUCUUUUGGUUAAUACCCAAGAUGAGUGGACGUUACUCGCAGAAUAAGCACCGGCUAACUCUGUGCCAGCCGCCGCAGUAA
rnacentral:rRNA from 1 species